GACGAACGCUGGCGGCGCGCCUAACACAUGCAAGUCGAACGAGCGAGAGAGAUCUUGCUUUCUUGAGCGAGUGGCGAACGGGUGAGUAACGCGUGAGGAACCUGCCUCAAAGAGGGGGACAACAGUUGGAAACGACUGCUAAUACCGCAUAAGCCCACGGUGCCGCAUGGCACAGAGGGAAAAGGAGCAAUCCGCUUUGAGAUGGCCUCGCGGCCGAUUAGCUAGUUGGUGAGGUAACGGCCCACCAAGGCGACGAUCGGUAGCCGGACUGAGAGGCUGAGCGGCCACAUUGGGACUGAGACACGGCACAGACUCCUACGGGAGGCAGCAGUGGGGAAUAUUGCACAAUGGGGGAAGCCCUGAUGCAGCGACGCCGCGUGGAGGAAGAAGGUCUUCGGAUUGUAAACGCCUGUUGUUGGGGAAGAUAAUGACGGUACCCAAAAAGGAAGUGACGGCUAACUACGUG
rnacentral:rRNA from 1 species